CAGUUCAAACUGCUCAGAAUCUGCACUGCGUACCGGUACACGGGCCCGCGUACCGGUACACCUUCUACGAAAACGCCCAGCCCGAGCCUCGGGUUGGCUGAGAAGCGGCCAAAGUCGAUGGCUGUACCGGUACAGCCAUCACUCCCGUACCGGUACACAGCCCUCUGAAGGCAACCCGAGAGCUAACCAAAAAUACGAUUUUUCGGGUUUUCGUGCUCGGCCUUAAACCUCACUUCUCGGGACUCGAACCAUG
rnacentral:lncRNA from 1 species